GAGGGGGGGRGGGCCUAAAMCAUGCAAGUCGAACGGUAACAGGAAGCAGCUUGCUGCUUCGCUGACGAGUGGCGGACGGGUGAGUAAUGUCUGGGAAACUGCCUGAUGGAGGGGGAUAACUACUGGAAACGGUAGCUAAUACCGCAUAACGUCGCAAGACCAAAGAGGGGGACCUUCGGGCCUCUUGCCAUCGGAUGUGCCCAGAUGGGAUUAGCUAGUAGGUGGGGUAACGGCUCACCUAGGCGACGAUCCCUAGCUGGUCUGAGAGGAUGACCAGCCACACUGGAACUGAGACACGGUCCAGACUCCUACGGGAGGCAGCAGUGGGGAAUAUUGCACAAUGGGCGCAAGCCUGAUGCAGCCAUGCCGCGUGUAUGAAGAAGGCCUUCGGGUUGUAAAGUACUUUCAGCGGGGAGGAAGGCGAUAAGGUUAAUAACCUUGUCGAUUGACGUUACCCGCAGAAGAAGCACCGGCUAACUCCGUGCCAGCAGCCGCGGUAAUACGGAGGGUGCAAGCGUUAAUCGGAAUUACUGGGCGUAAAGCGCACGCAGGCGGUCUGUCAAGUCGGAUGUGAAAUCCCCGGGCUCAACCUGGGAACUGCAUUCGAAACUGGCAGGCUAGAGUCUUGUAGAGGGGGGUAGAAUUCCAGGUGUAGCGGUGAAAUGCGUAGAGAUCUGGAGGAAUACCGGUGGCGAAUGCGGCCCCCUGGACAAAGACUGACGCUCAGGUGCGAAAGCGUGGGGAGCAAACAGGAUUAGAUACCCUGCUAGUCCACGCCGUAAACGAUGUCGACUUGCAGGUGUGCCCUGAAGGCGUGCUUCCGGAGCUAACGCGUAGUCGACCGCCUGGGGAGUACGGACGCAGGUUAAACUCAAAUGUAAUUGACGGGGGUCCCGCUCCAAGCC
rnacentral:rRNA from 1 species